UGGGGUGUAGCCAAGCGGUAAGGCAGCGGAUUUUGAUUCCGCCAUGCGGAGGUUCGAAUCCUCCCACCCCAGCCA
rnacentral:tRNA from 42 species